rnacentral:lncRNA from 1 species
GAACAGCCCCAGCUCUCACAACCUGUCCUCACAGGGGAGGUGUUGCAUCCCUAAUAUAUAACGUCCAGCACGUACCAAGGCAUAAUGUUUCUGGUCACACUCAUCCCCAUGGAGCUAAAGAAACAACCCCUGUAAUUACAGUUGUGCUGCACAGUAACCUGUGGAUGACAGACUUCACGUUCUCUUGCUGAAGUUACAGCAUGGCAAAGGAAACUGCAUUUUGUUCAGCUCCUGCCUUCAGUCAGAGCCUCGCGACUUGCUCUCAUUA